UACAGAGGUCCCAAGCGUUGUUCGGAUUCAUUGGGCGUAAAGGGUGCGUAGGCGGCGCGGUAAGUCGGGUGUGAAAUCUCGGGGCUUAACUCCGAAACCGCAUUCGAUACUGCCGUGCUUGAGGACUGGAGAGGAGACUGGAAUUUACGGUGUAGCGGUGAAAUGCGUAGAUAUCGUAAGGAAGACCAGUGGCGAAGGCGGGUCUCUGGACAGUUCCUGACGCUGAGGCACGAAGGCCAGGGGAGCAAACGGG
rnacentral:rRNA from 1 species